GAACGGGGAGCAGCCCAGAGCCUGAAUCAGUAUGUGUGUUAGUGGAAGCGUCUGGAAAGGCGCGCGAUACAGGGUGACAGCCCCGUACACAAAAAUGCACAUGCUGUGAGCUCGAUGAGUAGGGCGGGACACGUGGUAUCCUGUCUGAAUAUGGGGGGACCAUCCUCCAAGGCUAAAUACUCCUGACUGACCGAUAGUGAACCAGUACCGUGAGGGAAAGGCGAAAAGAACCCCGGCGAGGGGAGUGAAAAAGAACCUGAAACCGUGU
rnacentral:rRNA from 1 species